AACAUUUUUUCAGGUACGGUGCCUUUUUCUGACCUUUGAGGACACCAAGCACAUAAGCUAUCUACAUAUGUAGACAACUACUUGUAGAAAAGAACACUCAUGCACAGAAAUUAAUCCAAAAAGGCUUUUUUUUUUCCCUGUCUGGCUAACAUUUCCAAGUGGAAGUUCUAAUUUAAAAUUUUUCCCCAACAGAUUACAUUUAAAAUGUUCAAAAAUACAAAAAAAUCCUAAUAACUUGUACAUGGAACAAGUGUGUGUAUAUGGCACGCGUGCAAUAGUUGGUGAGUUCUUGUGCAUUUCUGUCAAUUCCAAAGCAAGUUGUAGGCAUCAGUAUCCGUCAUUGACACUAUGCCUGUAUAUGGCUGUUUCUGAGUUUUACUAUGUGCCUGCACGUGUGUGUUAGAGUGUAUAUGUGAGCGCCAGUGUGCAUGUGCUAGGGCAGGCGUGUGGAGGUUAGAGGACAUCCUCGCAUGUCCAUCCUUGCCUCCCACCUUGUUUGUGACAGCGUCUCUUGUUCACUUCUGCAUGCACCUCAUCUCCCCACAGGCACACAACAGAAUCACAAACACAUGUGCUACUGUGCCUGCCUCCAAACCCAAACCAUCAGCUUUACAGAGCAGGCGCCGUCUCAGCCUGUUUUGGGGCUUCCAUGAGGUGAGACCGAUGGACAGUGAGAUGCACAAGCCUUAUGUACCCUGUCUCACUGAGCUUGGCGUGUGUAGACACCUGUGCAAUGCAACAUGAUCUUCAUCAGCAAGACUGCCAGCCCCGCUGAGCCUCAGCCUCCCUCCUGCUCUCUGGACCCUUGCCCCUCCCAGAGACAAACACGGCUAUGUGUAUUUUCACCAUCAAUGAGGAUUCACCAAAUUCAGAUGUUUGAAGUUGUCAGUGCCUCCCCAGGACCUCAAAAUGUGAUUUACUUGAAGACAGGUUCUUUCAAGAGGCUAUUCAAUAAAAAUAGAGUUUAAGCUGUCGGGUCUGGGACCUUGCCAUAGACAGGACAUCAGAAGCAGAGUUCUGGGCUACUAUCAGGAGAAAGUGUGUUUUCUGCACCUUCGUCACGAAUAAUAGCCAAGAGCAAGGAGCUGGGUGGCAAUGACCGUCAAAUCACCAGGCGCCAAGAUCAGUUAACCUGCUGAUCAUAGGAGAAGGGGCUUUGAAGUUCUUAGGAAUUGCUUUUUUGGCACAGUUUAUCUGCUUUGUCCCGAGUGGCCUUGGAGACCUCAUCAUUUCGCUCCGGUGAUGAUCAUUUUUGGCUCUUCGAGACAAGGAGAAUGUCUUUGGUUUCACUUUGAAGCUUGCUAGAGAAAAAAAUAUCCCGGGACCCUUAUCAUGAGGUAAGGAAAUUUGAAACAAGAGAUAAUUCAGAUUUGGAAACCGUGACUGUAGUUGGCUCCCCCUGUCGCCGGCAGGAUGUGAAGAGUCCUUUGUGGCAGCGGCUCCCUGUAACUUAGUAACAUCUGAUGAAGUGGUCCAUUUGCAGAGGAUGCUGAUGGAGGAGAGGCCUCAUGUGUUGUGCAGGAAAGAGUUCCUGCUGCCUCCUCAAACUUCAGCUUCACCUGCCUCCAGGGGCUUGGGAAAUGCUUUCUUCUUAGUAAGGCCAGGAACAGAGCUGAAAGCAGGGUUUUUUUCCCCCUUCCCUCCCCAUAGUCAUCUUUGUCACAACCACAAGGUAUAUAGGAGCUCGCCAAGCCGCCUGCCUGCCACUUAGUGACCCCCAUAGAGGGGUUUAUUCAAAUCAACUACAUUUUACCCGUUUGGCUUUUCUGGCUGGUUUUCUUUUUCUUCCUUUGGUGCUGAGAUUUGAACCCAAGCCCAACCUCAUGCAUGCUGGGCAAAUACUCCACCAUGGAGUCAUACCCCUAGCUUGGUGUAUUUUUAUAACCCUGGGCUAGAGGGUGGAUCGUACCAACACUUGUGAACUCAAAAAGCUCUCUCUAGUUAAACAUCUCAACAAUGGCAACUUGGAAGUAUCAUUGUCUUUCUUUCCCAGCUCCAAACCUGCUCCUGUGGCCGAGUUCCAGGGUCAGCCAGCUGCCAGGCCUAGGAGGUGGGGCAGCGUUGUGCUGAGCAGGCUGGCUCGGGAUUUACCCUCCCUCUGCGCCAGACAGUAGGGACAUUGAGCUCAGAGGACUUUGGGUGCGAAUCAGAUCUCCACAGUUGCAAAACUUGGCACAGGACCCACCAGAGGAGCGGCAGAGCCAGGAGCCUUGGGUGGUCCUGGUAGCCCUACUGCAUCCCUCCCGAAAGCAGAGCACUUGUCCUGAAGCAUAGGGAGGCCCGAUUAGUGUGUUAGCAGAACAUGGGCCUUGGGGAUGAAGAGAAUUCCAGGAGACAGAGGGAAGAUGGGUGGCCAGUGGAGGGGAUCCAACAGAUAGAGAGGGAAGAGCCCGAGGGUGGCAUACUGUGGAGCCACAGGAAGACACCGGCCAUGUCUGAAAAGAAGAGACACAAGGCAAGAUGCCAAGCAUCUGUCAUCCCAGCCCCUGGGAGGCUGAGGCAGGGGGAUCCCAAGUUUGAUACUAAUGGUUAGACAAUGUGGCUUUGUCAGAAAGAAAAGAAAAAAGAAAAAAAAAA